rnacentral:tRNA from 2 species
GCCGACGUAGCUCAGUGGUAGAGCAGCGGUUUCGUAAACCGCUGGCCGGGAGUUCGAAUCUCCCCGUCGGCU